GGGUGAAGAAGUAUUUCGGUAUGUAAAGCUCUAUCAGCUGGGAAUAAAAAAAUGAAGGUACCAGAGUAAGAAGUACCGGCUAAAUACGUGCCAGCAGCCGCGGUAAUACGUAUGGUGCAAGCGUUAUCCGGAUUUACUGGGUGUAAAGGGAGCGCAGGUGGCGCGGCAAGUCAGAAGUGAAAGCCCGGGGCUUAACCCCGGUAUUGCUUUUGAAACUACUGUGCUAGAGUGCAGGAGGGGUAAGCGGAAUUCCUAGUGUAGCGGUGAAAUGCGUAGAUAUUAGGAAGAACACCGGUGGCGAAGGCGGCUUACUGGACUGUAACUGACACUGAGGCUCGAAAGCGUGGGUAGCAAACAGGAUUAGAUACCCUGGUAGUCCACGCUGUAAACGAUGAAUACUAGGUGUUGG
rnacentral:rRNA from 1 species